rnacentral:tRNA from 1 species
GGAGGUGUCGCAUAGUGGUCAAUUGCACAGGUUUGCUAAACCUGACCGGGUUUCCGGUUCGUGGGUUCGAAUCCCACCACCUCCG